rnacentral:rRNA from 1 species
CCUACGGGAGGCAGCAGUGGGGAAUAUUGCACAAUGGGGGAAACCCUGAUGCAGCGACGCCGCGUGAGUGAAGAAGUAAUUCGUUAUGUAAAGCUCUAUCAGCAGGGAAGAAAAUGACGGUACCUGAGUAAGAAGCCCCGGCUAACUACGUGCCAGCAGCCGCGGUAAGACGUAGGGGGCAAGCGUUAUCCGGAUUUACUGGGUGUAAAGGGAGCGUAGACGGCAGUGCAAGUCUGGAGUGAAAGGCGGGGGCUCAACCCCCGGACUGCUCUGGAAACUGUACGGCUGGAGUGCAGGAGAGGUAAGUGGAAUUCCUAGUGUAGCGGUGAAAUGCGUAGAUAUUAGGAGGAACACCAGUGGCGAAGGCGGCUUACUGGACUGUAACUGACGUUGAGGCUCGAAAGCGUGGGGAGCAAACAGGAUUAGAUACCCCGGUAGUC